rnacentral:misc_RNA from 1 species
CUGGAAGUUUGGGUCAAUCAAAGAGGCAGCACAGCAGCAGGGUUCAACUAGCACAGGUGGUUGUCGCAGUGAGGGCAGAGAGGGGAACCCCAUUGGUGCCUUGAUGAUGAUUCUUUUGCACUAACAGCAGUAACAGAGACUAUGAUGCCAAAUUUGAAAUCUCAAAAGCUUUAUCCCAAAAGAAAAUUUCUCAAAAGCAUUAAUAUUUUUUUCUUCCAAUAUUUUUUCCUCAUUUUAUUUAUUUAUUUAUUUGGAAAACAAGAAAGCAAACAUGAACCUUGCGGAAUAUGAUUUUCACUAUAAUUGUCAUGGUUUAAAAGUUAAAAGCAGAAGAUAUUAUCAUCAAUAAAGUAGGCUUCAGCAAGUAGUGCAUUUUUUUUUCUCAUUGUACAUCUAUAUAUUUUGUAAAGUGCACGUAAAAUUGACAUAUAUGAAUUAUUUUUCUACUUUCUACCGUCUGAUGUUAUGUUGGAAUUGAGCAGGGUUUUCAAG